rnacentral:misc_RNA from 1 species
AUUUAUGGUUCAGUUACUGAAGAUAUCUUGACGGGAUUUAAAAUGCAUGCCCGGGGAUGGAUAUCAAUCUAUUGCAUGCCUCCGCGACCUGCAUUCAAGGGUUCCGCCCCAAUCAAUCUUUCUGAUCGUCUAAACCAGGUGCUUCGGUGGGCUCUGGGAUCUAUUGAGAUCUUGCUUAGUAGGCAUUGUCCCAUCUGGUAUGGUUACACCGGGAAGCUCAAGUUACUGGAACGGAUAGCGUACAUCAAUACCAUUGUUUACCCCCUCACAUCCAUCCCACUGAUCGCGUACUGUAUACUUCCCGCCAUCUGCCUCCUCACAGGAAAAUUUAUUAUCCCCGAGAUAAGCAACUAUGCCGGAAUGUGGUUCAUUCUGCUCUUUGUAUCCAUCUUCGCAACUGGAAUUCUGGAACUCAAAUGGAGCGG